rnacentral:rRNA from 1 species
GACGAACCGUGCGAACGUUGUUCGGAAUCACUGGGCUUAAAGGGCGCGUAGGCGGGCAAUCAAGUCUGAGGUGAAAUCCUCCAGCUUAACUGGAGAAGUGCCCCGGAUGCUGGUUGCCUCGAGGAUGGUAGGGGCAUCUGGAACUAGCGGUGGAGCGGUGAAAUGCGUUGAUAUCGCUAGGAACUCCGGUGGCGAAGGCGAGGUGCUGGACCAUUUCUGACGCUGAGGCGCGAAAGCCAGGGGAGCGAACGGG